rnacentral:rRNA from 1 species
AUUGAACGCUGGCGGCAGGCCUAACACAUGCAAGUCGAACGGUAACAGGAAGAAGCUUGCUUCUUUGCUGACGAGUGGCGGACGGGUGAGUAAUGUCUGGGAAACUGCCUGAUGGAGGGGGAUAACUACUGGAAACGGUAGCUAAUACCGCAUAACGUCGCAAGACCAAAAAGGGGGACCUUCGGGCCUCUUGCCAUCGGAUGUGCCCAGAUGGGAUUAGCUAGUAGGUGGGGUAACGGCUCACCUAGGCGACGAUCCCUAGCUGGUCUGAGAGGAUGACCAGCCACACUGGAACUGAGACACGGUGCAGACUCCUACGGGAGGCAGCAGUAGGGAAUAUUGCACAAUGGGCGCAAGCCUGAUGCAGCCAUGCCGCGUGUAUGAAGAAGGCCUUCGGGUUGUAAAGUACUUGCAGCGGGGAGGAAGGGAGUAAAGUUAAUAACUUUGCUCAUUGACGUUACCCGCAGAAGAAGCACCGGCUAACUCCGUG